GAAUGAAGAAGGAGUAGCUCAGCAUGAUAAUUGGGGCAUCUGGCCUUGAAUUGUAGCUUGAAGAUGCAUUUGCCAAUGGACAUGAUUAUGGAAGCCUUUUGGGAAAAAGCAUCAUCGAGGGUGAGAAUCCUUCUUGACAUUUUAAUUGUCCAUGCACGGUGUGCAUUGAAGAUUCACGUUCCUUGGGAUUUGAACGCAAAAUUGUUGGUAAAUUUCAUUCAAAGCUAAAUACUAGUUUGAGACCGAUAGAAAACAAGUACCAUGAGGGAAAAGUGAAAAGGACUUUGAAAAGAAAGUUAAAAGUGUUUGAAAUUGCUGAAGAGGAAGCGGGUGUAUUUCAAAUACAAUUUUCAAGAUUGUUGCACAUAUUUGUUUUGCCUUGUUGUUUGAUUUAAUUGCAGCAGCAAGUUAUUACUUUGACUGUGCAAUGUUGCUUGUGUUUUGUGCAUCUAACAAUUUACAGCCAUAGAAACAAUCUAAACAUGAAUGUUUGCUUUUGUGUAAACGAACAUUUGGGCUCAGAUUUAGCUUGUGAAUUGUGAACACCAUGUUGACUG
rnacentral:rRNA from 2 species